UCAGUCGGCCGGACGGCCGCUCCGGCACCGGUCGAAAGGCCGCCGGGGAGGAAAGUCCGGGCUCCAUCGACAUACGGUGCCGGAUAACGUCCGGCGGGGGCGACCCCAGGGAAAGUGCCACAGAGAACGAACCGCCCGCCUUCGCCCUUACGGGCUUCGGCACGACAGGCCCUCGGGCUUGCCGCGCCAUAACGGCGCAAGCCGCGUCGGCGGGUAAGGGUGAAAAGGUGCGGUAAGAGCGCACCGCGUCGCCGGCAACGGCAACGGCAUGGCAAACCACACCGGGAGCAAAACCGAAUAGGGACGGCGCAGCGGCGGCUUCGCGCAAGCGAUAACACCGCGAGAUCAUGUCGGGUCUGCCGUCCGGGUAGGUUGCUUGAGGCAAUGUGCGAACAUUGUCCCAGACGAAUGGCCGUCACGUAUCGUCCGUGCAAACGGGCGGUGCCCUACAGAACCCGGCUUACAGGCUGACUGAUAUU
rnacentral:RNase_P_RNA from 1 species